AGGCUUUAUUGUUACAAAGUUCAUCAGGGCUCAACUCCCCAGCUCCCUUCUUAUUUUGGUACACAAACUACAUAGCUCCAAAGGGACACACACACACAUGCACGCACACACACACACACCCUGGGCCACCAAUAGCCAAGGCUAGAGCCCAGCCAAGCAUGUCAGCAUGCAGGCUCACCCACAAGCAGGUCUGGGAGAUGCAGGCCUGGCUCAUGGGCAGGUGCCCAGGAGCCCACAGCUUGGUUCAGUCCUCCCGCAGAGCUCCUCACCCAACCCAGCACCUUCUCUCCUCAAAGGGGGUGGUGGCUGGGGCUAUGGGUAGGGCUGGGGCUUUGUCAGGAGGGAGGAGGCAAGUCUGGGAGGGUCUGGGGAGCUGGGGAAAUUUCCUGAAUGGAAACUCCAGGCUGAUAUGCUGGGGACAUUCCUUCCAGGGACUCUCCUCUCCCUCCACAUCCUUGCCUUUUCUCUCUGUGCCUGAACCCUGGACAGAAAAUGAGUAGACUUUAUGGGUCACGUGGAAACCAAGGGGUAGGGCUCACCCACAAGCAGGUCACAAGACAAAAGCAGAGAGCAAGGUCACCAGAGUAGGUGCUAUCUCCACUGUCCCUCCUGUCAUGGGAAGAAGGGCCUCCGGGAAGCCGGGAAGCCCCCCACAACACCUCUUGCUGUGGUCCUAGGAACCUCCAGGCAAUCCUCUCUGUUCCAACACUCUGCCUGUGUCCUAACAAACAAGGAGAAAAACCCAAUCACACCAUCUCCCACUUGGAACAACUGCAAUUACCCACUCCCCGUAAGUGGAAGAACACCAGGGCUAAUCAAAUGACACCACUCCGGGAAGCCAAUGGCUCCCAGUACCAAUCUUUUUGAAAAGCCCAUAUGGAAAGCUACAAAUUCUAUUUGUCUUGUCUGGGGGGGAAAUGAGUUUUAAAUAUGUUGAAUCAAAAAUGAUAUAUACCAGACACUAGUGAUCCAGAACAAACGCCUUGGGAGAAAAACUACUCUGAAAACGUUCAGUAUUCAGGUUGCCAAAGAACUGGGAAUUUAGGCUGAAAUAUACAAGCACAGAACAUUCACACUGGACAGCCACAUGUCCCUUACCAGGCCCGGAUGGAAUUGGUCCUCAGACAGAGCCCUGGUUCCUUCCUGAGCACUGGCCUCAGCAGCUUCCCCCAGGGACACUCCCUGCCACCUCCUGGUGAGCUUCAAUGUCUUCCUGCUGGGCCAGGCUGCCGAGGCCUGAAGAUCUCGGGUCCACCCUAUGCAGCCAGCCUGACCGGGUUGAGGAAAGGCUGGGGAGGUAAAGAAGAGGUCUGCUUUCCACCAGAUUCCCAAGCCCAGCAGACAAUUAUGCCAUUAAAUAGUCAGUUUACAAACCAUGGAGGGCACUGAUUGUUCUCUUCCAAGACAAACUGGUGAGGUAGGAAGCUCCUGGGAGUAGGCACUGGGAGACCUAGGUUCUAAUCCCAGCUCCACUAGUAGCUGCUAGUGCCAAAGGUCUUGGACAAAUCCCUUCUCCUGUCUAGUCCUUAGUUGAUAAAAUAAGAAACUGAAUUUAAAUGCUCUCUUUCGAUUCUACAACUAACAUAUUUUUUUUUCUUUUCACUCUUUCAAGAGUCUGUAGAAAAGGGUAGGAAAAGAUCCCUCUUUUUUUUCAAGAGGGUAGAGAAUGGUGAAUAAGAGCAGUCUUUCAAAUCAGCCUGCACAGGUUUGAAUCCCAGCCUGGCUCCUUUCAAACUGUGUGACCCUGAGCAAGUGACUUAACCCUCUCUGUGCUUCCAUUUUCUCUUCUCUACCAUGAAGAUAGUAGUAUCUGUCUCACAGCCUUGUGAAAGGACAUGAUGAAUUAGCAUUCAAAGGCCUUUCAAUAGCUCCUAGCACAUAGCUAUUAUUUCUUCAGCAACUACUGUAUACCACGCUCUGUCCCAGGCACUGCAGAGACAGAAGUGAUUGAGAGCCAUGGUCCUUGCCCUCCAGGAUCGUACUGUCUCCUAGGAAAAUGUUGCCCUGGCAGCCUCUCUCUGAUGGUCACAUGUUUGCAUCCCUAAGGGUAGGAUCGUUCCUGGCCUUCUGCCCAGGCACGGGGUUGGGCAUGAAACAAGUCCCCCCACAGGUCUCUGAGGCGCAUACCAGCUGCCUGACUCUUGAUUUUUUCUUUCCCUGCUUCUUUACUGCUUUUCCCCUCCUGAUUCCACUUGAUGUCUAACUUCAAAGAGAAUAGAAAUAAAUAAAAGCUCCUGCAAAAGAGGCUGUCUUCCUCCUCCCUCUGCAUUCCCUCUCUAAUCUUCUCUCCAGUCUCCGCCUGUUGGUGUUGCAUCAUUCCUGCUCACAGCCUCGCUCCAUUUGCCCCGUUUAGGGAGCUACGAGAUCCCUCGGUGCCUCCUGCCCUCCUAAGAACACACUCUGGCCUUGCUCUUCCUAGAACCCGACAUGGCCAUAAUCUUCUUGGUUCGUGAGGACAUUGGCUGCAGGAACAUUCAGCUGUGUUUUCCCAGGGGAUGGGGGCGGGGGCCAGAGAAAUUGUUCAGCUCCUGCGCAGUCAGCAGGGAAGGUAAUCGGGAUUAAUCUGAGCACUGCCAAAUGCAGAUGAGUCCCAGCCAAGGAGGGAGGGCAGGAAGCUACUGUCUCAGGGGCCAGCUGCUGCUGCCGCCAGGGGGUCCGGGGAAGAGGAAUGAGGCACUGGCACAGAUCAGAGAGCCCCAAGAGGUUUGGACAGCAUCGUGGAGGUCUGGGGCCGCCCAGCCCAGUCUGGCCAGGAGGGCUGCUUGGUGGAUGUCUUUCAUGGCAUGUUGAGAGCUGGCAGGCUAACUGUGUAUGCACAAAUGCACACUGGCUGUUUGAGGAAUUCCCAAAUCCCUUGCUGGAGGCUAGAUGAUGAAAAACAGGAUUCUAGAGGAAUCCUGUGGCCUCCCGUGCCACCAUGCUCAUUCUUGGGCUGCCAGGGGUCGGGGGGUGCUGGGAGGAGGAGUGCAAAUGGCAGCCCUUUGGCCAAUUCUGGCAGGUCCUGGGUCAGACAGAUUAAAUGAUGGUAAGCGAGGAGUUGGGCAAAUAUUUCUGAGUGCCUACUAUGUGCCCGAUGCUGUGCCAGGCUCCAGAGAAACAAAACUGAACAAAUAGAGGGGCUCAUAGCCUGGUGGGAAGACAGUGGCACUGGGGGACACAGAGGCUCCCUGAGCUGUGGGAAACAUGUGGAGGUGAUCUUUGGGGUCCUGGCACCCCCUCCUCCAUGCCCCUCAUCCCUGCAAGUACCAUAAUCCUUUUACAGUAUUAGUGGCUGAUGGAGAGUUACUUCCAGGAUGAUUUGUUUAAAGAGGAAAUUCUUGAAGCCCUCAAACCCUCCAGUGCUAACAGGGGGCAGGGGAUCAAAAUGGCAACGUUUUAGGCCUCCUGCUACAUCUGGGAAGGGGGAAGAAGUAAUCACCCACUGACCUGAGGUCAGGAUGUCAGGGGCCUGGUCCAUGCCCUGUCACUCCAGGCUGGGUGAGCUGGGGCAAGUCACUAAGCUCUCAAAGCCUCCCUCCCAGGUUUCUGUGCAGCUUAGAGGAGAUGCUGUAAUUGGCAGGGAAGGGGCAGACCAUGGUGUGAUGCACGGCUGGAGCCUCCCUGUCUUCAUCUUGCAGUAGCCCUGUGGCCCUUUCAUAUCCCUGGAUGCACACUUGCUGCUGAGUUUCCUAUGGGUCAUGUUCACAUUGAUUUAUGUGUAAACAGUUGUUGAAAAUAAUACAAUAUUUUAUGAGGCUAAACAGAAGACAAGGGGCCCUAAUAAAAGCAGAUGCAUAAACCAGUGGAACAGAAUAGAGAACCCAGGAACAAAUCCACACAUCUACAGUGAACUCAUUUUCAACAAAGUUUCCAAGAACAUACAUUGAGGAAAUGUAUUUAAUAAGUGGUGCUGAGAAAACUAGAUAUCCAUAGGCAGAAGAAUGAAACUAGACCCCUAUUUCUCACCAUAUGCAAAAAUCAAAUCAAAAUGAAUUAAAGGCUGAAAUAAGACCUCAAACUGUGAAAUUAUUACAAUAAAACAUUGGAGAAACUCUCCAGGACAUUGAAGUGGGCAAAGACUUCUUGAGCAAUAUCCCAUAGGCACAGGCAACCAAAGCAAAAAUGGACAAAUGAGAUCACAUCGAGUUGAAAAGCUUCUGCACAGCAAAGGACAAGAUCAACAAAGUGAAGACAGACGCCACAGAAUGGGAGAAAUAUUUGCAAACUACCCAUCUGACAAGGGAUUAAUAACCAGGAUAUAUAAGGAGCUCAAAUAACUCUCUGGGAAAAAAAUCUAAUAAUACCACUUUUAAAAUUGGCAAAAGAUCUGAACAGACGUUUCUCAAAAGAAGACAAACAAAUGGCAAAUAUGUGUAUGAUCCAAAAGACAGGCAAUAACAAAUGCUGGCGAGGAUGUGGAGAAAAGGGAAUCCUCAUACACUGUUGGUGGAAAUGUAAAUUAGUACAACCACUAUGGAGGACAGUUUGGAGGUUUCUCAAAAAAAACUAAAAAUAGAGCUACCAUAUGAGAUCUGCACUCCUAUGUUUACUGUAGCACUGCUCACAAUAGCCAAGAUUUGGAAGCAACUAAGUGUCCACCAAUAGAUAAAUGGGGCUGGGUACGGUGGCUCACAACCAUAAUCCUAGCACUUUGGGAGGCCAAGGGAGGUGGAUGGCUUGAACCCAGGAGUUUGAGAUCAGCCUGGGCAACAUGGUGAAACCCUGUCUCUACAAAGAAAUACAAAAAUUAGAUAGGUGUCAUGGCAUGUGCCUAUAGUCCCAGCUCCUUGGGAGGCUGAGGUAGGAGGAUCAAUUGAGCCCAGGAGGUUGAGGCUGCAGUGAGCCAUGAUUGCUCCACUGUACUCCAGCCUAGGCAACAUAGUGAGACCCUGUCUCAAAAAAAAAAAAAUAGACGAAUGGAUAAAGAAAAUGUAGUACAUAUAUACAAUGGAGUACAAUUCAGUCAUAAAAAAGAUGAGAUCCUGUAAUUUGCGACAACGUGGAUGGAGCUGGAGAUCAUUAUGUUAACUGAAAUAAGCCAGGCACAGAAAGACAAACUUCAUAUGUUCACGCUUAUCUGUGGGUGGUAAAAAUUAAAACAGUUGAACCCAUAGAGAUAGAGAAUAGAAGGAUGGUUACCAGAGACUGGAAAGGGUAGUGGGGGUGGGGGGAGGGGUGAUGGUUAAUAGGUACAAAAAAAAUUGAAAGAAUGAAUGAGACCUAGUAUUUGCUAGCAUAAAAGGGAGACUAUAGUAAAAAUUAAUUUAAUUGUACAUUUUAAAAUAAUUAAUGCUUGAGGGAAUGAAUAGCUUAUUUACCUUGAUGUGAUUAGUACACAUUUGCAUGCCUGUAUCAAAAUAUCUCAUGUAACCCAUAAAUAUGUACCUCGACUGUGUACCCACAAAAAUUAAAAAUUAAAAAAAAAUUAAGGCCAGGCACGGUGGCUCACGCCUGUAAUCCUAGCACUUUGGAAGGCCGAGGCGGGUGGAUCACUUGAGGUCAGGAGUUCGAGACCAGCCUGGCCAACAUGGUGAAACCCCGUCUCUACCAAAACUAUUUAAAAAAUAGCUGGCUGUGGUGGCGUGUGCCUGUGAUCCCAGCUACUCGAGAGGCUGAGGCAGAAGAAUCGCCUGAACCCAGGAGGCAGAGGUUGCAGUGAGCUGAGAUCGUGCCACUACACUCCAGCCUGAACGACAGACUCCGUCUCAAAAAAAAAAGAAAGAAAGAAAGAAAAAAAGAAAAAAUUAAAAAAGAAGACAAGGGACCCUUGUGGGGUGUGGGGAGGGAGCAUCUGUGACCCACAUAUUCUGUGGCCAAAGGGGCCAAGUAUCUGAAAAGGCAGCCUCAGGACCAUUUAAAAUAGGCUUGAUGGAACCAGGUACCCCCAGGGCCUGGACAGGGGAGGCCGUGGGUCUCCAAUACGCGCUUGCCAGUCCU
rnacentral:lncRNA from 10 species